GAUGAACGCUGGCGGCGUGCCUAAUACAUGCAAGUCGAGCGAACAGACGAGGAGCUUGCUCCUCUGACGUUAGCGGCGGACGGGUGAGUAACACGUGGAUAACCUACCUAUAAGACUGGGAUAACUUCGGGAAACCGGAGCUAAUACCGGAUAAUAUAUUGAACCGCAUGGUUCAAUAGUGAAAGACGGUUUUGCUGUCACUUAUAGAUGGAUCCGCGCCGCAUUAGCUAGUUGGUAAGGUAACGGCUUACCAAGGCAACGAUGCGUAUCCGACCUGAGAGGGUGAUAGGCCACACUGGAACUGAGACACGGUCCAGACUCCUGCGGGAGGCAGCAGUAGGGAAUCUUCCGCAAUGGGCGAAAGCCUGACGGAGCAACGCCGCGUGAGUGAUGAAGGUCUUCGGAUCGUAAAACUCUGUUAUUAGGGAAGAACAAAUGUGUAAGUAACUAUGCACGUCUUGACGGUACCUAAUCAGAAAGCCACGGCUAACUACGUG
rnacentral:rRNA from 1 species